rnacentral:rRNA from 1 species
ACAGGGAUUGCCUCAGCUACGGCGAGUGAAGCGGCAAGAGCUCAAAUUUGAAAGCUGGCUCCUUCGGGGUCCGCAUUGUAAUUUGCAGAGGAUGCUUCGGAGUGGCCCCCAUCUAAGUGCCCUGGAACGGGCCGUCAUAGAGGGUGAGAAUCCCGUCUGGGAUGGGGUGUCCACGCCCGUGUGAAGCUCCUUCGACGAGUCGAGUUGUUUGGGAAUGCAGCUCUAAAUGGGUGGUAAAUUUCAUCUAAAGCUAAAUACUGGCCGGAGACCGAUAGCGCACAAGUAGAGUGAUCGAAAGAUGAAAAGCACUUUGAAAAGAGAGUUAAACAGCACGUGAAAUUGUUGAAAGGGAAGCGCUUGCACCAGACUCGCCCACGGGGUUCAGCCGGCAUUCGUGCCGGUGUACUUCCCCGCGGGCGGGCCAGCGUCGUUUGGGCGGCCGGUCAAAGGCCCUCCUAAUGUAACGCCCCCCGGGCGUCUUAUAUCCUAGGGUGCCAUCACCAGCCCGGACCGAGAACGCACUUCGCUCUGACCUGGCAUAAUGGUCCUAAACGACCCUUCUUGAAACACCAACCAA